GUCAAGGGGGCAUGACUUGGGGUCCCUGUCUUGUACCUGACCCCUCCCUCUCUGGCUUCAGCCCCUUUGGCUUCCCAGCUACCAUAAUACAAGGUCUCACGAUGUAAUUAGAGUUGGCCUUGAACUCAUGAGCCCAGGCUGGCCCCAAACUCAUGGUGCUUCUCCUACCUCAGCUCUCCAAGUUCUUGCACUAUCGUGCCUGGCUCUCAAGUGACUAUGUGGUGCGGGAGCUGCGGGGCGCUGGGUGGCGUCCAGGGGCGUGCAGUCCCAGGCAGUCGCAGUCCUUGGCGCCGACCCGACGGUCACUAUGCCGAAGAGAAAGUCUUCAGAAAAUACAGAGGGCAAAGAUGGAUCCAAAGUAACUAAAUAGGAACCCACAAGACGGUCUGCCGGAUUGUCGACGCCUCCUGAACUGUGAGAUACACAUUCCUAUUAUCUAUGAAUUAUCAAGUAUUGGAUAUUUUGUCAUUGUAACUCCAAUGGAUAUGACAGUGAAGCUUCACUUUUAAAAAGCAAUCAUGAAAACCCUGGGAAAGAAAAUCUGGUUUUAAUAUUCUGACAAUGGCUGAAUUACCGUGAUACUGACUGAAGCUUUGAUCAUGCAAGUGAAAUAAGGGCAUCAAAGGAUUUGGAAGACAUCCCGUGGCCCACACAUUCGAGUCAACAUGUGUGUUAACACAGGUUGUAUUUCUCCCCUAUAGGAUGAUGUUUUUAUGGAAAAUCACCUCCCAACUAUUCUUUAUGUCUUGUUUUAAGGUGGAACUAAUUCUUUCAUUGUUAGCCAUUGCUGAAAUUGCACUUUUCUUUUGUGUGCUUGUAGUACGGUAUUUUGCUCUUUAAUUUUAUUACUGCCAAAUGUGGUUUCUAUUACAAAGACAAGGAGAAGUGCUUUAAGGCUGCCUUGACCCAGACUCUAAUUUUGUCAGAGAGAAGUAACUCGAGUACAUUCAUUUGGUUAAAACCCUAGGUAUCCUACAUCUGUGUAUUAUUUUCCCUUCACAGUUUCAUUUUCAUAUUCUCUCUCUCCCUCUCUCCUCUCUUUCUUCUCUUUGCUCAACUUCACUGCCUUCAUUUUGUUGAUCUACAAAAACUCCUAAAUACAUUCUUUGAAAUCUUCCCAUUUGCCCUUUCUGCUAUGUAAAUGUGAUGCCUUUCCCUCCUUCCUUUUGCCUAU